GAAAGAUUAAAUUAAAGCUGCUAACUUUGAUGUGGGAAUUUUUAUAUUUCCAUCUUUCU
rnacentral:tRNA from 1 species